GAUUUAAUUUCUCUCUUUACAUCAUAAUGUCUGCGCAGUUUUGUAGGGCUGUUGGACUUGACCAUCCCAUACGAAAUGAGAGUGAUAAAGUUACUGACUUACCACAUCCUGUAAGUAAUGGAAUUGGGUAUAGUCUUCAUCGAGAAAUGGAGAUGAUGUUUGUGAGUUUAUAGGGUAAAUGGGUCAGGAUAGGGUGCUUUGCAAGUAUUUGAUGAAUGACCCAGUUCUCCAAUUUGCGAAUAGACGUGCAAUUUUGGACUUUUUUUGUGCUGUUGCAAAUAGCGAGGCGAGGCUCGAAUCGGCGUGAGUUCUUUCUUGGGUGUUCUUCCUUUUUUUUUUUCUGGGGGAAAGGAAGAAAAUGGAGAGGACAAAGCUAUCGUUGGAUAGAUGCUCAAGAACACUCAGACUUCACUUGCAGAAGAACAAGAACGCAAUCGCCAGUUGACAAAGCCUGUAACUGCUGAAAAGAUGGAAACAAGAAAAGCAGAGCUUGAGACUAACCUUGCAACUAAUCUCAAGAGGCAGAAGCAAGAGUAUGAGGCUAUUAUAUCCUCAUCAGAGACUGAUUUGCAUGAAAAUGAAGCGGAAUCAAAGUGGUAGGAGCUAAAAGAUACUAAAUCAUUGGUCAUUGAUGCAACCCAGCGAUUAGAAGGAAUUAAUAGAAGUACAGAGGAAACAAAUAAGCAAAUCAAAAAGAUCAAAGAUGAGAUGGCAAAGUUGAAGGCUUUGGAGGACACCUAUGAGAAAACACUUCAGGAUGAAACUAAAGAACUUGAACAACUCUUUAGCCGGAGGAAUACUCUUAUAGCUAAAAAGAUGAGUACUCAAAAAAGAUAAGGAACUUGGGCCCGUUAUCUUCUGAUGCUUUUGAGACGUAUGUUCCCUUGUCUAACUGUGAAAAUGUUUUGACUUUGAAAAUGCUUUUGAGGCGUAUGUUCCCUUUGCUACUGAAUUUUAAUUUGGUUUCCACUAUUGAAGCUCAUCAUACCUCAUUUUAUAUGUUUGAGAUUAUAGGUAUAGACGGAGGAGCAUCAAAGAGUUGCAGAAGAUGCUUCACAGAUGCAACGAGCAGCUCCGAUAGUUUAGUCAUGUAAACAAGAAAGCACUUGAUCAGUACGUGAACUUCACAGAGCAAAGGAAGUGAGCAUCUCACAUGGACCGUGUCUUUAGUUUUGUUCAGUAUUUAUAUGAUGGAGAUUGUCGCUAAAAGCCAGAUAUUCUUUUUUGAUUCAUUUCUGUCGUCAUUGUUUAUUGUGCAAGAUUAUUUAUUAUGCAAGAUUAUUUAUUCUCUCAUUAUGUGUACUAUAAAGAAAAAUAUUUAUGUCAUUCUUGUGGAAAAUGUAGAUGAA